rnacentral:misc_RNA from 1 species
GAAAUGCGAUACGUAAUGUGAUUUGCAGAAUUCAGUGAAUCAUCGAAUCUUUGAACGCACAUUGCGCCCCCUGGUAUUCCGGGGGGCAUGCCUGUUCGAGCGUCAUUUCACCACUCAAGCCUCGCUUGGUAUUGGGCAUCGCUGUCCGCCGCGUGCCUCGUAUCGACCGGCUGGGUCUUCUGUCCCCUAAGCGUUGUGGAAACUAUUCGCUACAGGGUGUUCGGGAGGCUACGCCGUAAAACAAACCCAUUUCUAAGGUUGACCUCGGAUCAGGUAGGGAUACCCGCUGAACUUAA